ensembl:lncRNA
AUGCACACAGAUACACACACACACACAUCUGCAGACACAGAGCUACCCAUGCACACAGAUACACACACACAUCUGCAGACACAGAGCUGCACAUGCACACAGAUACACACACACAUCUGCAGAUACAGAGCUACCCAUGCACACAUAUACACACACACACACACACACCCCUGCAGACAGAGAGCUACCCAUGCACACAGAUACACACACACACAUGCACACACCUGCAAACACAGAGCUACCCAUGCACACAGAUACACACACACACACACACACAUGCAGACACAGAGCUUCCCAUGCACACACAUACACACACACACACACACACACACACACCUGCAGAGAGCUACCCAUGCACACAGAUACACACACACACACCCCUACAGACACAGAGCUACACAUGCACACAGAUACACACACACACAAACACAUCUGCAGAUACAGAGCUACACAUGCACACAGAUACACACACACAUCUGCAGACACAGAGCUUCUCAUGCACACAUAUACACACACACACACACACACACACACACCUGCAGAGAGCUACCCAUGCACACAGAUACACACACACACACCCCUACAGACACAGAGCUACCCAUGCACACAGAUACACACACACACACCCCUGCAGACACAGAGCUACCCAUGCACACAGAUACACACACACACACCCCUGCAGACACAGAGCUACCCAUGCACACAGAUACACACACACACACCCCUGCAGACACAGAGCUACCCAUGCACACAGAUACACACACACACACAUCUGCAGACACAGAGCUACCCAUGCACACAGAUACACACACACACACAUCUGCAGGCAGAGAGCUACCCAUGCACACAGAUACACACACACACACCCCUACAGACACAGAGCUACACAUGCACACAGAUACACACACACACAAACACAUCUGCAGAUACAGAGCUACACAUGCACACAGAUACACACACACAUCUGCAGACACAGAGCUUCCCAUGCACACACAUACACACACACACACACACACACACACACCUGCAGAGAGCUACCCAUGCACACAGAUACACACACACACACCCCUACAGACACAGAGCUACCCAUGCACACAGAUACACACACACACAAACACAUCUGCAGAUACAGAGCUACACAUGCACACAGAUACACACACACAUCUGCAGACACAGAGCUUCCCAUGCACACAUAUACACACACACACACACACACACCCCUGCAGACAGAGAGCUACCCAUGCACACAGAUACACACACACACAUGCACACACCUGCAAACACAGAGCUACCCAUGCACACAGAUACACACACACACACACACACACACAUCUGCAGACACAGAGCUACACGUGCACACAGAUAUACAUACACACAUCUGCAGAGCUACACAUGCACACAGAUACACAUACACAGAUACACACACACAUCUGCAGACAGAGCUACACAUGCACACAGAUACACAUACACAGAUACACACACACACAUCUGCAGACACAGAGCUACACAUGCACACAGAUACACAUACACAUACACACACACACACAUCUGCAGAUAGAGCUACACAUGCACACAGAUACACACACACUCCCUAUUGAAUAG